rnacentral:lncRNA from 1 species
AUGGGAGGCAGUGGCAGGAGGCCCGGUGUGUGUGUGUGUGUGUGGGGGGGGGGGGGGCAGACCUCUCUUCUCUACAUACCCACGGAGAUGCGUGGAGUUCGGGGGAAUCAUCAGCACCAGGUCACAGGCCCUGAAGGGGGUCACCGCACUGAGUUGACAGAAAAAGCAAGUGAGGCUCAAAGAAGAGAGACGGGGGAAGGAGGAAGGCCUGUCCUUUGGGGUCCCUGGAGUCCUCUGGGAACAGGAUUUCAGGGAGGAGGUAGGAUCAGCUGGUUAGACCCUCCAGGCAACUCUCACAGAAGAGAGGACUUAAUACGGGCCGGGCCGGGCCGCCGGGCCCUACUCCACUUUUCCCUCCCUGCGGCAGUUCUGCGGGCACGUGUCACCCCGUCAGCAAAGGCCUCCCUGGAGGUGGUGACGCAGGACGGGGAAGCCUGCCUUGCGGUGCGGGCCAGAGUCGCCCCGAAAGAGGGCCCAAGAGGGCCCGGCGUUGCUGUACCUUCCCGCAUGCAUCGCGGUCCCUCGGCGCCCCUGGCUUUGACGGUUGGAACUGACAGAGCCGGAGAGGGCGCGCUCUGGCCCAGGGGUUUGCUCCAGAGGUCGGGCUGGGGCUGGGGCGCUGGAACCGUGCGGGAAGACGGGGGCCACCGUCUCCUCCAAGCGCCACCCCACAGCGGAGGCUGGGCCGCGCAGCCAAGCCGGUGCUUCAGGCAUGACCUCCCAGCAACCCUGUCACCCAGACCGGGCCCCCGUCGCCCUCCACGAACGUCGCGGUCUCCCAGGCGACCCUCGGAAGGCCCCGAAGGCGUCGGAGCCCGUCACCGCCACGCAGCAGGGCGCCGGCGUGCGGGGCCGCCCGACCCUCGGGGCGGCGCGGCGGGGCGGGGCGGGGCGGGGAGGGCGAGGGCAGCGCCGGGGCACGGGCGGGUCCCGGUCCCUCCCGGCACCUCCCACCCUUCCCCCUGCGCACUGUCCGACUCGCCCUGGCCGUGCCGCGCUCCGCUGACGACACCCGCGCGGUCCCCUACGCGCCGACACGCCCUCGCCAGAUUCCGCGGGACCCGAGCCCCCGGAAGCGCAGCCGGUCGUCCCGAGCGCCGACUGCGUACGCGGCACCGCGCCGGGCGCGGCGGGCAGGGG